GCGAACGCUGGCGGCAGGCCUAAUACAUGCAAGUCGAGCGCUCGUAGCAAUACGGGAGCGGCAGACGGGUGAGUAACACGUGGGAACGUACCCUUUGGUUCGGAACAACACAGGGAAACUUGUGCUAAUACCGGAUAAGCCCUUACGGGGAAAGAUUUAUCGCCGAAGGAUCGGCCCGCGUCUGAUUAGCUUGUUGGUGAGGUAACGGCUCACCAAGGCUACGAUCAGUAGCUGGUCUGAGAGGAUGAUCAGCCACACUGGGACUGAGACACGGCCCAGACUCCUACGGGAGGCAGCAGUAGGGAAUAUUGGACAAUGGGCGCAAGCCUGAUCCAGCCAUGCCGCGUGAGUGAUGAAGGCCUUAGGGUUGUAAAGCUCUUUCAGCGGGGAAGAUAAUGACGGUACCCGCAGAAGAAGCCCCGGCUAACUUCGUGCCAGCAGCCGCGGUAAU
rnacentral:rRNA from 1 species